AGAGAGUGAAUGUUAAUGUCAGUCCAUGUGAAGAGUCAGUCACAAUGAUGAACUGGGGAAAACAUGUAGGAAAGCAGAUAUCAAUAGAGACAUUAGGAAAUCAGGCAAAAUAUUAAGUGUGUCAUAGGAUUAGGCAUUUUCAACAGGGUUAAGGUUGAAUAUAUAAUCUUAGGAAGAAACAAAUAUGUAGUCACCAAUAGAAUUGACAUUUGAGAGCAUUAGGCAACCUGGACAUGAAUGUUUUUCGUAAUCCAUGCUCACUUUCCAUUUAGGCUUUGGUGAAAUUAAAUAAAAUAGGUACUUGUCACUUUCUGUUUUUCUGUAUGCUUAACAAAACACUGUUUAAAUCUUGAAAAGUUUUUGCUAAUCUUGUUCCCAGAAUGUGCUCUCCCCAACUGCCAAACUGCAGAAUGUACUCCCUCACCCGUUUACAUGCAAACCGCCCAGUUGCCCUGACCCAUCAAUAAACUUCCCUCCCUGCCCUCUUCAAGGAAAGUAUAUAAGCUCUGCUUAAGCUGUUCUCAGGGCUCUCUGCUCUAUUCAAGUGAGCUCUGAGCCCCAGAAUUCUGGACCCUUUGCUGUUGCAUGAGACACUCUCUUGUUGGUCUCUUCCUCCAACGCUCGCCCGACCUUUACAUCUGAGGGCCCCAGCGAGAUCCAGCAGCGGUGGACGAAAGACCCCCAAUGGGCUCCUCUCAGGACUUAAAGCUCUUGAAAGAACUCAGCGAUACCUAUGGAAACAGCUGGCCACUGCCUACCAACCUGGAGAUGAGGGGACUCCAUAUCGAUAUCAAGUAAGAGACUUCGUCUACAUAAGACGUCAUCAGGUGUCAACCCUGGAACCCCGCUGGAAAGGACCAUACCAGGUGCUACUUAUAACACCUACAGUGGUAAAGGUAGACGGAAUCACUUCCUGGAUCCAUGCCUCUCAUCUCAACCCUGCGCCCCGUCCAGACUCUGGCUGGAAACUGGAAAAGAAUGAACAGGCGAGGGUUGGACCUCCUCUUCAUGAGAGAAGGAGGCCUUUGUGCUGCAUUGAGGGAAGAAUGUUGUUUUUAUGCCGACAAUACUGGAGUUGUAAAAAAAAUCUAUGAGUAAAUUAAGAAGAUGCCUUGAAGAGCGUCAACAAGAGAGAGAGGCACAAAAAGGGUGGUUUGAGUCUUUGUUCACACAGUCCCCCUGGUUAACUACGCUUUUAUCAGCCCUGGCCAGUCCAUUAAUAAUCCUCAUAUUAUUGCUAAUUGUCGGAUCCUGUUUGCUCAACCGUGUAGUUUCCUUUCUACAAGCUCAAAUUGAAUAAGUUAAACUUAUGGUAAUCAGACAACAAUAUACCUCACUAGCAGACAUAAAAUGUGAGACCCCCCAAUGAUCACUUUUAUGAUUAAAAGUAACCAGAAUAAGAAGUGGGGAAUGAAAUGUUAAUAAAAUAGGUACUUGUCACUUCCUGUUUUUCUGUAUGCUUAACAAAACACUGUUGAAAUCUUGAAAACGGUGUGCUAAUCUUGUUCCCAUUAUGUGCUGUCCCCAACUGCAAAACUGCUGAAUGUACUCCCUCUCCCAUUGGGAUGCAAACCACUCACUCGACCUGACCAAUCAAUAAAUUACC